GACGAACGCUGGCGGCGUGCUUAACACAUGCAAGUCGAACGGAAAGACCCUGCUUUUGUUGCUUGCUCGUGAGGCGAGCGGGGGUGUAAAACGCGAGUAUCCUCCCCUUGACUUUGGGGUAACUUCUGGGAAAUGCGGCUCAAACCGGGUAGAAUAUCCUGCUGCACAUUGGUGGAUGGAAAAUGUCGGCGGUUGUGGAUGGUCUGGCGGGUUAUCAGCUGGUUGGUGGGGUAGGUGCUUACAACGGCUUUGAAGGGUAGCCGGCCUGAGAGGGUGACCGGGCACAUGGGGACUGAGAGACGGCGCAGUAUCCUACGUGAGGCAGUAGUGGGGAACAUUGCACAAUGGGCGGAAGCCUGAUGCAGCAACGCCGCGUGCGGGAUGACGGCUUUCUGGUGGUAAACCGCUUUCGCAUGUGACGAAGCGUGAGUGACGGUAACGGGUAAAGAAGCACCGGCUAACUACGUG
rnacentral:rRNA from 1 species